CCUACGGGAGGCAGCAGUGAGGAAUAUUGGUCAAUGGGCGCGAGCCUGAACCAGCCAAGUCGCGUGAGGGAGGACGGCCCUACGGGUUGUAAACCUCUUUUGCCGGGGAGCAACGGGCGCCACGUGUGGCGUCACUGAGAGUACCCGGAGAAAAAGCAUCGGCUAACUCCGUGCCAGCAGCCGCGGUAAUACGGAGGAUGCGAGCGUUAUCCGGAUUUAUUGGGUUUAAAGGGUGCGUAGGCGGAUCGUUAAGUCAGUGGUCAAAUUGAGGGGCUCAACCCCGGGACUGCCCUUGGAACUGCAUGGCUGGAGUGCGGGAGGGGCAGGCGGAAUUCCUGGUGUAGCGGUGAAAUGCGUAGAUAUCAGGAGGAACACCGGCGGCGAAGGCGGCCUGCUGGACCGCGACUGACGUUGAGGCUCGAAAGCGUGGGGAGCGAACAGGAUUAGAUACCCCAGUAGUC
rnacentral:rRNA from 1 species